rnacentral:rRNA from 1 species
UACGGAGGGUGCGAGCGUUGUCCGGAAUCAUUGGGCGUAAAGGGCGCGUAGGUGGCCUGCUAAGCGUGCGGUGAAAGCUCGGGGCUCAACCCCGAGUCGGCCGUGCGAACUGCUGGGCUUGAGCACUGUAGAGGCAGGCGGAAUUCCGGGUGUAGCGGUGGAAUGCGUAGAGAUCCGGAAGAACACCGGUGGCGAAGGCGGCCUGCUGGGCAGUGGCUGACACUGAGGCGCGACAGCGUGGGGAGCAAACAGG